CAGCCGCCGCGGUAACACGAAGGGUGCGAGCGUUACUCGGAAUUACUGGGCGUAAAGCGUGCGUAGGUGGUGGUUUAAGUCCGUUGUGAAAGCCCUGGGCUCAACCUGGGAAUUGCAGUGGAUGCUGGGUCACUAGAGUGUGGUAGAGGAUAGUGGAAUUUCCGGUGUAGCAGUGAAAUGCGUAGAGAUCGGAAGGAACAUCUGUGGCGAAGGCGACUAUCUGGGCCAACACUGACACUGAGGCACGAAAGCGUGGGGAGCAAACAGGAUUAGAUACCCGCGUAGUCCCUGUCUCUUAUAC
rnacentral:rRNA from 1 species